GAUGAACGCUGGCGGCGUGCCUAAUACAUGCAAGUCGAGCGAACAGACGAGUAGCUUUCUCCUCUGACUUUAGCUGCUUACGUGUUAGUAACACUUUGAUAACCUACCUAUAAGACUGGGAUUACUUCUUGAAUCCGGCGCUAAUACCGGAUUAUAUAUUUAACCGCAUUUUUCAAUAGUUAAAUACGGUUUUUCUGUCACUUAUAGAUGGUUCCGCUCCGCAUUAUCUAGUUGGUAAGGUAACGGCUUACCAAGGCAACGAUGCGUAGCCGACCUGAGAGGGGGAUAGGCAAAACUGGAACUGAGAAAAGGUACAGACACCUACGGGAGGAAGCAGUAGGGAAGAUUCAGCAAUGGGAGAAAGAUUGACGGAGCAACGCAGCGUGAGUGAUGAAGGUCUUCGGAUCGUAAAACUCUGUUAUUAGGGAAGAACAAAUGUGUAAGUAACUAUGCACGUCUUGACGGUACCUAAUCAGAAAGCCACGGCUAACUACGUG
rnacentral:rRNA from 1 species